rnacentral:rRNA from 1 species
GAGUUUGAUCUUGGCUCAGGACGAACGCUGGCGGCGUGCUUAACACAUGCAAGUCGAGCGGAAAGGCCCUUCGGGGUACUCGAGCGGCGAACGGGUGAGUAACACGUGAGUAACCUGCCCUUGGCUCUGGGAUAAGCCCGGGAAACUGGGUCUAAUACCGGAUAUGACUAUUGUCCGCAUGGACGAUGGUGGAAAGUUUUCGGCUGGGGAUGGACUCGCGGCCUAUCAGCUUGUUGGUGGGGUGAUGGCCUACCAAGGCGACGACGGGUAGCCGGCCUGAGAGGGCGACCGGCCACACUGGGACUGAGACACGGCCCAGACUCCUACGGGAGGCAGCAGUGGGGAAUAUUGCGCAAUGGGCGGAAGCCUGACGCAGCGACGCCGCGUGGGGGAUGAAGGCC